AUACGGAGGGAGCGAGCGUUAAUCGGAAUUACUGGGCGUAAAGCGCGCGUAGGCGGCUUUGUAAGUCGGAUGUGAAAGCCCUGGGCUCAACCUGGGAAUGGCAUUCGAUACUGCAGAGCUAGAGUAUGGUAGAGGGAAGUGGAAUUUCCGGUGUAGCGGUGAAAUGCGUAGAUAUCGGAAGGAACACCAGUGGCGAAGGCGACUUCCUGGGCCAAUACUGACGCUGAGGUGCGAAAGCGUGGGGAGUAAACAGGAUUAGAAACCCCAGUAGUCC
rnacentral:rRNA from 1 species